CUCCAUGGCAGCGUCCGAGACGCCUGUAGCGACCGCUCUUGUUGAAAGAACAAUGGGGCGCUUUUCUGAGCGACGGCGGAUU
rnacentral:ribozyme from 14 species